ACCACGUUCUGUGACGUCACCACUCAGCAUUACCUCAUCGGCGUGAAACGCCAGGGGGAGGUGUACCUCGCUAUUGACGUAAUGUCACCAAGGCGUUCACCCCACCCCAUCCAACGUGCCCUUGAGCGUGACGUCACUCUUGCCUGGGUCACUUUCGUUAUCUGUUUAAGUACAAUCCUUAUUUGGGCACAGCUACUCACGGUGACUGGCGGCUCAUUAACAUAAUGUUUUCGUGAAAGCCGUUGCGAGUUUAUUGCGACGAGAUCGGCACCCACGCCCAAUCCCUCCACUUAUGGGCCAGGCUCAUUAACAUAAAUUAUUUAAGUCCCAGAGCCGCUGAUUGUGGGAGGGGCGUGUCUUGUUCCCCGCAAGUGACGUCAUGUCACCGCCUCCUGCCGCGUGACGUCACGAGGUAACCGGAAUCUGCCGCUCCGCGCGUAAACUGAAAUCCGAGGCCACGCCCACGUUGAGCUGGUGAAACCGGUCUUGUUUUCAGAAGCGACCUGCCCACAACAACAAUAACAACAAGCUGUCGCUUCCUCUGCAGAAUUUGUCUCAUGGAGCAAAGGCACUCGGCGCGGCUCGGUGCAAAAAGGCAGAAAUGCGUCCGGCGUGAAAACAACCCGGAUCGUACUGGAGAUUUGACACGGCACCAGAUAACUCGCACAGGAGAUGAACCCUUCAAGUGCAGUGUGUGUGGGAAGGCGUUUACA